rnacentral:rRNA from 1 species
GGAAGUAAAAGUCGUAACAAGGUUCUCCUGUAGGUGAACCUGCGGAAGGAUCAUUAU